rnacentral:rRNA from 1 species
AGCAGCCGCGGUAAUACGUAUGGUGCAAGCGUUAUCCGGAUUUACUGGGUGUAAAGGGAGCGUAGACGGAUGGGCAAGUCUGAUGUGAAAACCCGGGGCUCAACCCCGGGACUGCAUUGGAAACUGUUCAUCUAGAGUGCUGGAGAGGUAGGUGGAAUUCCUAGUGUAGCGGUGAAAUGCGUAGAUAUUAGGAGGAACACCAGUGGCGAAGGCGGCUUACUGGACAGUAACUGACGUUGAGGCUCGAAAGCGUGGGGAGCAAACAGGAUUAGAUACCCUGGUAGUCCACGCCGUAAACGAUGACUACUAGGUGUCGGGUGGCAAAGCCAUUCGGUGCCGCAGCAAACGCAAUAAGUAGUCCACCUGGGGAGU